rnacentral:rRNA from 1 species
GAUGGCCUCCGUAAGGGCGGGGGGUACGCCAGUGCUAAAAACAUGAGAUUAACAAUUCCGGGGGCUGAGUCGUAACUUGAGGAGGGUAAUUUCGGGUUCUGGCCCUUGUUCUGUUCCUGGAACAGGACGUCAUAGAGGGUGAGAAUCCCGUCUGAGGAGAUGCCCACUCCUAUGUAAGGUGCUAUCGAAGAGUCGAGUUUGUUUGGGAAUGCAGCUCUAAGUGGGUGGUAAAUUCCAUCUAAAGCUAAAUAUUGGCGAGAGACCGAUAGCGAACAAGUACAGUGAUGGAAAGAUGAAAAGAACUUUGAAAAGAGAGUGAAAAAGUACGUGAAAUUGUUGAAAGGGAAGGGCAUUAGAUCAGACUUGGUGUUUUACGAUUAUCUUCUCUUCUUGAGUUGUGCACUCGUAUUUCACUGGGCCAGCAUCGAUUCGGAUGGCAAGAUAAGGCAGUUGAAUGUGGCUUCACUUCGGUGGAGUGUUAUAGCUUCUGCUGAUAUUGCCUGUCUGGAUCGAGGGCUGCGUCUUUUGACUAGGAUGCUGGCGUAAUGAUCUAAUGCCGCCCGUCUUGAAACAACGGACCCGAG